CGCCCCGCGACCAACCGCCAAUUUGGACCGGGUCGCGGCGCCGUCGACAGACCACCGAACGGACCGGGAAUUGCCCUGUACGCGGACAGAGUCUCCCCAGUACGUCCAAGGCGUCGCAAUCCAAACAAUCAACGAAUGUUCCAAUAAGGAACGGAUAUCAAUCCAGAUUGCAUAAGGAAGUAUCAAAUACAUAAUCUACUUGCUAUUACAAGCAUUCAUUUCACCACCACGUUUACAUCACAGUUUCAGUUUACAUUUUUACUUCUAAAUUACAAUCUCACUAUUACAUCAGA
rnacentral:lncRNA from 1 species